rnacentral:rRNA from 1 species
GACGAACGCUGGCGGCGUGCUUAACACAUGCAAGUCGAACGAUGAAGCCCAGCUUGCUGGGUGGAUUAGUGGCGAACGGGUGAGUAACACGUGAGUAACCUGCCCCUGACUCUGGGAUAAGCGUUGGAAACGACGUCUAAUACUGGAUAUGACUACUGGUCGCAUGGCCUGGUGGUGGAAAGAUCUUUUGGUUGGGGAUGGACUCGCGGCCUAUCAGCUUGUUGGUGAGGUAAUGGCUCACCAAGGCGACGACGGGUAGCCGGCCUGAGAGGGUGACCGGCCACACUGGGACUGAGACACGGCCCAGACUCCUACGGGAGGCAGCAGUGGGGAAUAUUGCACAAUGGGCGAAAGCCUGAUGCAGCAACGCCGCGUGAGGGAUGACGGCCUUCGGGUUGUAAACCUCUUUUAGUAGGGAAGAAGCGAAAGUGACGGUACCUGCAGAAAAAGCACCGGCUAACUACGUGCCAGCAGCCGCAGUAACAC